rnacentral:rRNA from 1 species
GACGUAGGGCGCGAGCGUUGUCCGGAUUUAUUGGGCGUAAAGAGCUCGUAGGCGGCUUGUCGCGUCGACUGUGAAAUCCCGAGGCUCAACUUCGGGCUUGCAGUCGAUACGGGCAGGCUAGAGUUCGGUAGGGGAGACUGGAAUUCCUGGUGUAGCGGUGAAAUGCGCAGAUAUCAGGAGGAACACCGGUGGCGAAGGCGGAUCUCUGGGCCAUUACUGACGCUGAGGAGCGAAAGCGUGGGGAGCGAACGGG